GGAGAAUGACCACCAGCUAUUUACCUUGUCUUUUGCUACUCCACCAAUGCUUCUUGGACUCCAUUCAGAUUCAGUGACCUGUCCUCUGAACAAACUGACAAGAAAGGUGAAGAGUUGAGACCUAAUGGAUCUUUUGCACUGUCUGGACUCAAGUUCCUUAGAAUCUCAAGGCUCGAUAUUAGUAAAAAGAGGAAGCAGAGGAUGCUGGAGCCAACUCCUUUGGAAGUACAGCAGGAAGACUGGCCCUGAGCUAACAUCUAUACCCAUGCUCCUCUAUUUUAUAUGUGGGACGCUUACCAUAGCACGGCUUGAUAAGCGGUACAUAGGUCAGCAUCCAGAUCCGGAUCGGCAAACCCCAGAUCACUGAAGCCAAGCACAUGAACUUAACCACCAUGCC
rnacentral:lncRNA from 1 species